GCGGCGUGCUUACACAUGCAGUCGAACGAUGAAGCCUUUCGGGGUGGAUUAGUGGCGAACGGGUGAGUAACACGUGGGCAAUCUGCCCUUCACUCUGGGACAAGCCCUGGAAACGGGGUCUAAUACCGGAUAACACUCUGUCCCGCAUGGGACGGGGUUAAAAGCUCCGGCGGUGAAGGAUGAGCCCGCGGCCUAUCAGCUUGUUGGUGGGGUAAUGGCCUACCAAGGCGACGACGGGUAGCCGGCCUGAGAGGGCGACCGGCCACACUGGGACUGAGACACGGCCCAGACUCCUACGGGAGGCAGCAGUGGGGAAUAUUGCACAAUGGGCGAAAGCCUGAUGCAGCGACGCCGCGUGAGGGAUGACGGCCUUCGGGUUGUAAACCUCUUUCAGCAGGGAAGAAGCGAAAGUGACGGUACCUGCAGAAGAAGCGCCGGCUAACUACGUGCCAGCAGCCGCGGUAAUACGUAGGGCGCAAGCGUUGUCCGGAAUUAUUGGGCGUAAAGAGCUCGUAGGCGGCUUGUCACGUCGGAUGUGAAAGCCCGGGGCUUAACCCCGGGUCUGCAUUCGAUACGGGCUAGCUAGAGUGUGGUAGGGGAGAUCGGAAUUCCUGGUGUAGCGGUGAAAUGCGCAGAUAUCAGGAGGAACACCGGUGGCGAAGGCGGAUCUCUGGGCCAUUACUGACGCUGAGGAGCGAAAGCGUGGGGAGCGAACAGGAUUAGAUACCCUGGUAGUCCACGCCGUAAACGUUGGGAACUAGGUGUUGGCGACAUUCCACGUCGUCGGUGCCGCAGCUAAC
rnacentral:rRNA from 1 species